GCCUGGGUGGCUCAGACGGUUAAGCGUCUGACUUCAGCUCAGGUCAUGAUCUCGCGGUUCGUGGGUUCGAGCCCCGCAUCAGGCU
rfam:Felis catus isolate Cinnamon breed Abyssinian chromosome F1, whole genome shotgun sequence.